GGGUUGUGAGGUUAAGCGACUAAGCGUACACGGUGGAUGCCCUGGCAGUCAGAGGCGAUGAAGGACGUGCUAAUCUGCGAUAAGCGCCGGUAAGGUGAUAUGAACCGUUAUAACCGGCGAUUUCCGAAUGGGGAAACCCAGUGUGAUUCGUCACACUAUCAUUAACUGAAUCCAUAGGUUAAUGAGGCGAACCGGGGGAACUGAAACAUCUAAGUACCCCGAGGAAAAGAAAUCAACCGAGAUUCCCCCAGUAGCGGCGAGCGAACGGGGAGGAGCCCAGAGCCUGAAUCAGCAUGUGUGUUAGUGGAAGCGUCUGGAAAGGCGCGCGAUACAGGGUGACAGCCCCGUACACAAAAGCGCAUGUGCUGUGAGCUCGAUGAGUAGGGCGGGACACGUGGUAUCCUGUCUGAAUAUGGGGGGACCAUCCUCCAAGGCUAAAUACUCCUGACUGACCGAUAGUGAACCAGUACCGUGAGGGAAAGGCGAAAAGAACCCCGGCGAGGGGAGUGAAAAAGAACCUGAAACCGUGUACGUACAAGCAGUGGGAGCACAGGUUUACCUGUGUGACUGCGUACCUUUUGUAUAAUGGGUCAGCGACUUAU
rnacentral:rRNA from 2 species